ensembl:lncRNA
CUGAAAUCCUGUGUGGUUUUUCACAGCGUCUUUACUGAGAUGAUUGUCUUCCUUCCUUCUGAGUCUAGUCCAGGCACAGUCAGUGAAAUGAAGGAUCUGUAGGCCAUUCACUCGAUCACUUGGAAGCAGAUUACACACACGAUCAGCUCUUCGUAUUAACCAAAAGGAAGUGUGGAGGCUGUCUGGAGAAGGGGCCUCACCAAGAAGGGAGGAAGUGGAUCUCCCAUAAGAAGUACCCAAAGAGGUCUGUCUACACAGCAGAUUCCCGCAGGAAGAGAUGGCCAUGCUGUGGAAGUGAGUUAUUAUCAUUCCUGUGCUUCUCUGGUGAACCCAGAUGGACCCGUGGAUGCUUUGGGUAGCCAAGGUUCUCACGUACUUUCUUAAUUACUGUAAUCAGCUCCUUGAAGUCAGCUCAUGGAGGCGCCUCACAGGAAAGAAUGGGCAGUGUUGCUAUUGCCAACUGCUUGGGAUGGGCAAACACCCAGGGCGAGGAGUGGUCAGUGCCUGCGUUUCACUCCCCUUUCCUCCUGGAGCAGCCCCACCAUCACCUCAGACAACUCACAUCACUGAAACGGAAAAUAACAGAUCAUCAAGAGAUUGCUGUAUUUUAUCCAUCAGAUACUUUAGAAAGCUAAACUAUUAAGGACAUAAAGACCCGUCUGUGUGCUAUGAAUAAUACACCGCAUGUGGAGGGCAUGCCCAAACCCUGAGAUCACUGUAGGGUUGAAGUUGUCUACAGACAUAUCUCAGUCUUUGGGAAGACAUACAGCCUUCUGGGAAGAUGAAUUGAAAAAGGAAGAAUUUUAUGGUCAAUAAGGAAAUCUUAACUUGUGAGAGUAAAAUUAGUGUGGGGAGCCAAAUUCUGAACUCCCCAUAGCUUCCUCAAUUUCUCUUUGAUGACAUUGUGACUUCCUAACUACUGAAGAAAAAGUCAAGUUGAAGAGCAAAGCAUUUGAUCAAACCAUUUAUUUACAUUAUAUUAAACAUGAG